rnacentral:lncRNA from 10 species
CUGGGUUUGACACCAAGACACCCAGGGACAUAUGGGACACACAAAAGAUCUGAAGCACAGAACAGCUACACAGAUGCCAAAGGAAAAUGCGGGGCCCCUUGUCUGAAAAGUGUUCGGCAUUUCCAGAGGCAACAGCAGCACAUUAGACCAAGCUGAGGCCCCUCUGAGCACAAGCCCCUGUCAGCAGCCGGUCCUGAAGCCAGACCAUCCCCCAGGGAGGGCGGCCUUGGGGACACGCGGCAGCCUUGGGGACACGCAGCGCCCUGUCCACACUGGGAUUCCCGAGACUGAUGGUGGCCUGAGCUGGAGAAGACAUCCUGGUUGGUAAUCACUGCUGAUGGGCCAGAAAGCAUGACCUGUGUCAUCAGCAAGGGUCAGCCAGGGUGUUUGUUUUUAUCCCCAGGGGACAGUGGGCGACGUCUGGAGACAGUUUUGGAUGCCACCCUGGGGUGUGCUUCUGACUUGUGUGGAGAGGCCAGGGGCGCUGCUAACCAUCAGACCCCAGGGUGCUCUCCAGCCCUGGGCUACGGUUCCCAUCUCAGCACUCCCAGACAUCUACCACAGGAGACGGGGGAUGUCCUCACUGCCCGCCCCUCGCUCCUCUCCAUCCUAAUGUCCCUGAAGACCACCGAUCCCUGCUCAGAGGUGAGCUGGGCCUGGGACCCACAGCAGCAGGCCUUCCCUUGAAGAGAUCUGCUUAGGAG